GAAUCUCAGGUCAAGCUCAGCGCUUGCAUUUCUUUCCACUGGACUUCAGGAGCUGCCUGGAAUAAAAUUGUGCACCUGAGAACAGCUUGGAUGCCCUGUAUACAAAUUCCACAGCUCGUACAGUAGACAAACGAAGGACAUGAUUGUUCAAACCUUUCUGUGUAGCAGUGAUCUUUACCAGGUGGUCCCACAGACCUUGGUGGGAUUACACAGGAACUGGUUGGAAAUGCUGCCAAACAGAACCUGGGUAACUUCUGUGAACACAGAA